ACAGUCUACUGUCCGACACAUUCCGACUUAGCUGGACUUGGAAAGAAACACUUCUCAGAAUGUACUGAGCAACUCCAGACACUUGUAAAGUUGGACUAACUACAAGAAGGCUUUCCUCGAUUCACGGCGACUUCCUAGAAAUACAGCCCUGGUCACACUCUCAAAAGAAAAUGCUUUUGCAGGGUCUCUAUUUGAGUGAUUUCUGGCCAUUCAGACUUCACACAGAGAAAAAAAGACUCACAAUGCACUCCCCCACUCCCACCCUCAAGGGAGUGAACGUGCAGGGCAAUGAGUCUUGCCUAAAAAAGGAAGUUAUUUGCUGAAGUUGGACGGAGAACGGUCAUGCAGAAAAUAUGGCUUAAACUGUUGCACUCUGAAGAGGACAGGGAGAGUCACUACCAUGAAGCCAUACAGAAACAAGGCUUCUUUUAAAGAUUCACAGCGUGAAGCAAAACCUAGCUAUGAUCCCAGUACUUUCAGAAGGACAAAACUGUGACUUUGAGAUGAGCCCAAACUCCAAUAAUUAUGAGGCUAGCCAAGGGCUAUGUGGCAAGCUCUCGUCCAAAACAAAAACAAACAGACAAACUCAAACAAAACUGAUUCACAGUUUGCAACAUUAGAAUUCCAAACACUUCAGCGGCACCACAGGCCCUAAUGGGCUCUGAGCCUACAGGGUACCAUUCACUUUUCUGCUCCAAACCUCUGCAGAUGCUGUGCCUGCGGAUGAUGUGAUGCUAUCUAUCCAAGGCUGUCUUCCCAGAAGACACUGAUUUUUAAAACCUCCCCAUUCCGUGCGUUCUCUAGGAGUUAAAGAAAGCACGAAAAAGAAAAUCAAUCAGGCUAUGGGGUAUAUCAAAAAGCCUUUUCUCACAUCGUCCUUGCAAACAAGGCUCCAGGAUAGAACAUUCAUUCCUGUCAGAAUGAGGCAGGUACAUUUCUCAACUUGGGGGAACAACGGACAGCAUCCUGGAGAGCUGAAGUAUUUCAAUCCAGUCACUAAACCACACAUAAGGACUUCCUUUGUCUCUGCCUCUAUCUGACAGCUAUUAGCUAAAGGAUCACAUAAAAAGGAGAAGAGGUCUUGGACAAUUUGCUGUGGUUGGGACCAGAUAUCAGAAGUCUCCAUUCUGUUAGCAUCCUUGAUAGGAUGCUGAGGGACCUUCAGAGAAGGACAAAGUCCCUGCCUUGUUUCUAGGCUUCCCUGCUAACAACAACAUUUGGAAAGCAACUAUGACCAAAAAGGAAACAGAACCCAAGGUGAGAAGAACUGGAUGGAUAAGGACACCCAACUGGUCCAUAUGAGUUUGAAAUUCAAAUCCCAGACAAGUUGUGCUCAGUUCAGAGGACCCUUCCCUGCAGAGCCUUUGAAGAAAGUGUGAUCUGUAAAAGUUGGGCUAGAAGAAAGGCAUGUUUUGAAGCGGGGCUGGGGUUAGUGGAGGGGAGAAUCUCUCUUACAGCUACAAGCUGAUGCCAGAGAUAAUAAAUGGAACAGAUUAUAAGGGAAUGAGUCUGAGGAUGCCUGGGUGCCAGCUUUGCCUCCAUAAAAAGGAAAAAGCCAGAUAAAUACCAGUCACUUAUUUCCAGGAAAAAGCCACUCAGUGGGGGAACCAGUAAAAGUGAAGCAGACAAGAGGGAUCUCAGCAAAGAAUCUUGGACAUGAUUGUUAUGACCAUAAGACAAAAACCAGUACUAGUGGGUAGGUGAUCAACUGGCUGACUGGCAUCAUGUAUUAGUUAGAGGAAAAAAUUAUUUCUUGGUCUUAUCUCGUUAAACUUUGACCAACAACAAAAGUAUUCUUAUCAAAACUGUCCCUGGAGACUGGAGAGAGAUUUCAGUGGUCAAGAGCACUGGUUGCUUUUCCAGAGACCCUGGGUUCAAUUCCCAGCAUCCACAUGGCAUCUCACAACUCCAGUUCCAGAGACUGGACACCCUCAUACAGACAUAUAUGCAGGCAAAACACCAAUGCACAUAAAAUGAAAAAUACGGAUAAAUAAAUCAUUUUU